UACGUAGGGGGCAAGCGUUAUCCGGAUUUACUGGGCGUAAAGCGCGUUAAGGCGGCCGGCUAAGUUGAGGGUGAAAUUCCAGGGCUCAACCCUGGAACUGCCUCCAAUACUGGUCGGCUCGAGUGCGAGAGAGGAAGAUGGAAUUCCCGGUGUAGUAGUGAAAUGCGUAGAUAUCGGGAGGAACACCAGUGGCGAAAGCGGUCUUCUGGCUCGCAACUGACGCUGUAGCGCGAAAGUGUGGGGAGCGAACGGG
rnacentral:rRNA from 1 species